rnacentral:rRNA from 1 species
UACGUAGGCAGCAAGCGUUGUUCGGAGUUACUGGGCGUAAAGGGUGUGUAGGCGGUUCUUUAAGUUUGGUGUGAAAUCUUGCGGCUCAACCGGGAGGGUGCGCCGAAUACUGAGAGGCUAGAGUGUGGGAGAGGAAAGUGGAAUUCCUGGUGUAGCGGUGAAAUGCGUAGAUAUCAGGAGGAACACCGGUGGUGUAAACGGCUUUCUGGACCAUAACUGACGCUGAGGCACGAAAGCGUGGGUAGCAAACAGG